rnacentral:rRNA from 1 species
GCCUACGGGGCGCAGCAGUUGGGGAUAUUGCACAAUGGGGGGAACCCUGAUGCAGCGACGCCGCGUGAAGGAAGAAGUAUCUCGGUAUGUAAACUUCUAUCAGCAGGGAAGAAAAUGACGGUACCUGACUAAGAAGCCCCGGCUAACUACGUGCCAGCAGCCGCGGUAAUACGUAGGGGGCAAGCGUUAUCCGGAUUUACUGGGUGUAAAGGGAGCGUAGGCGGCAGUGCAAGUCAGAAGUGAAAGCCCGGGGCUCAACUCCGGGACUGCUUUUGAAACUGUACAGCUUGAUUG